rnacentral:rRNA from 1 species
CACGUAGGAGGCGAGCGUUGUCCGGAAUCAUUGGGCGUAAAGAGCGCGCAGGCGGCUUGGCAAGUCGGGUGUGAAAUCCCGGGGCUCAACCCCGUGACUGCAUCCGAUACUGUCAGGCUAGAGGAGUAGGGUAGGGAGAUCGGAAUUCCUGGUGUAGCGGUGAAAUGCGCAGAUAUCUGGAGGAACACCGGUGGCGAAGGCGGCGAUCCUGGA